CAACCCCGAGCUAACCUGACAACACUAAGAGAAAUGGGAAAAUGGUGUAAGCUUAAAAGCUUAGUAAGUUGGCAUAUUAAUAAUAAUAAGAAAUUAAUUAACAAUAUUAUCCCAUUCCUCAAUAAAUAUGCUCAAGAAAAUAGAAUCAUUAAUCACAUGAUUUCAUCUUUUUACACAAGAUCAGCUAAGGCUAUUUUCCUGAAUCAUCGUCACUAAUUUCAUAAUUUCUUAAGCUACAAAACUCAAAAUUAAGUUUCAUAAAUUUUCCUUGAAACUAGACUCAAAUAAAUUUCUACCAUAAAAUUUUCAGAAUUUUUGGUUUUUCCAAUCAAUACCAGAUUUUUCUUAAAGUUUCAUCUAUUUCACUGUCUGACAAUUCUGACCUCUCUAUAUAAAAACUCAGUUAUUUCAUUGUACAGAAUUCAAAUAAUGUUUUUGAUUAUUCAAGUAAAAAAUAUACUUAUUAAGGUUUCUAAAAAUAUAAACCAUGCCCCAUAAUUAUAUUUUUACAAUUUAUGAUGAUUUUACCAAGUCAGAACAAGGGAUCACGUAAUUAUUCUGAACUAGUCUCACAAAAAUAUAAAUAUCUAAAAAUAUAGAAUUCUUUUUAUUUUUAUAUUUCUUUUAUAUGAAAAUAGACUCAUUAAGCUUUAAUUUGAUAUCUCAUUCAGCCUCUAAUUAAAUUCCUACUAUUUUUGGUGAUUUUUCAAAUUCACGUCACUGCUACUGUCCAAAAUAGUUUUAUUGCUAAUUCACUCUUUCACACUUUCUUUGUAUUAACCUCAUUUUAACAUACAUAUCACAAAUCAUUUUCACCACAUUUCAUACAUCACAAGUAUAGGCCCAUGAUUACAAGGUCACCAUAAAAUCAUCCUCAUGUAUAACUUACUUGUUUAUAACCUUACCACAUCCCGGUCACUUAAUGAACACAUCAUUCACAUAACCAAGUUCUUGCACUUUUUCAUCACAAAACUC
rnacentral:lncRNA from 1 species